GGGUGCGAUCAUACCAGCACUAAUGCACCGGAUCCCUGCAGAACUCCGCUGUUAAGCGUGCUUGGGCGAGAGUAGUACUAGGAUGGGUGACCUCCUGGGAGGUCCUCGUGUUGCACCCC
rfam:Gossypium raimondii scaffold_1022_contig_2, whole genome shotgun sequence.